rnacentral:rRNA from 1 species
AGAUUGAACGCUGGCGGCAGGCCUAACACAUGCAAGUCGAGCGGUAGAGAGGUGCUUGCAUCUCUUGAGAGCGGCGGACGGGUGAGUAAUGCCUAGGAAUCUGCCUAGUGGUGGGGGAUAACGUUCGGAAACGGACGCUAAUACCGCAUACGUCCUACGGGAGAAAGCGGGGGACCUUCGGGCCUCGCGCCAUUAGAUGAGCCUAGGUCGGAUUAGCUAGUUGGUGAGGUAAUGGCUCACCAAGGCGAUGAUCCGUAACUGGUCUGAGAGGAUGAUCAGUCACACUGGAACUGAGACACGGUCCAGACUCCGUACGGGAGCAGCAGUGGGGAAUAUUGGACAAGUGGGACGAAAGCCUGAUCCAGCCAGUCGCCGCGUGUGUGAA